AUAUUUUUUUUAAAUAAAAAUUGUUGGCGACAUGACUCAUGUAUUAAAGUCUUCUGUCACAGUUAACUCAGCAAGAAUGAAGACAUUGAUACACUUUUGCAUUAAGGAAUACACAAGUUGGCAGUUCCUCGCCCACUGCCACCCAAAUACAGGUAUAAAAAAUUUUUAUCUGUACAUAACAGACGAUGGAGACGAAGUGAUUAUUAUGUGUGGCAAAAGAUUAUUUUAUGAAGUUUUUCAUUUUCUGACUUUGUGAUGGAACUUAUUAGAGUACACUUGUUUUGGACAUAGGAGGAGUAUUGCCGCUACAAGCAUGAACAAUAAUAAAACAUUCCAAAGAAUAAUUUGUUAUUUCAACGAUUAGAUUUGUUGUUUAAAUGUA
rnacentral:misc_RNA from 1 species